CCUCAGUGCACGCAAUGAGCGUAAAUGAACGCUAGAUGGCACCAAAGAGUAAGGAAAGAAGGUACGAUAAGAUACACAAGUAAGAUAGAAUGCAUACUGAAUCUGCGCCAUUGACCCUGCUUGGCAAAUGGAAGCCUGAAAAACACAGAUCUAUCGAGGAGAUUGACAUGGUGUCUCAUUAUAAGAGAAAGCUGAUCCUAUGCUAAGAUGUUUUUAAAAAAGCGAAAUCUUUUCUUCAAAGAAGAAGCGGACAUGUGUGAAGAAUGAAGAUGGCACGACUUUGAAUGUGAUCUUAAGGGAACGCGUCACAAUGUAAGAUGAAUUCGGAAGCCGUUUCCAGAUUUUAUUGACGCUGUAAAAGACAAUAAAACAAUCCAGUAAGUGAGUCGACGGGACCAACUCUGUCUCAGAGUAAGGGUUGCAAACACAGGCAGAGGACUUGCAAAGGAGCGGAUAAGGAGUACAGUAAAGAAUACCGUGAAUGUUGCAUCUGGCAUCUGGUCAGUAAGGUAUGAAAUGAAUUAUUCUAUGUUCCUACUGUUACUGUAAAAAAAAUUAAAAAUUAAAAAUAUAGAGCUUUUUUUGUUUUUAGAAGAGCCAUAUUAGUCCAGAGAUGACAGACAAAGAGAAGGAGAUGCGACCAUUUUUAUUGGACAAACUAAAUAAUAAUUCCACAUGCUUGCAAGACCUCAAAAGUCUCAUCUUCACGUGAAAGUAGGAGAGAGAGAUACUCUCUUAAUUUGUACUUGUAG